UACGUAGGGGGCAAGCGUUGUCCGGAUUUAUUGGCGUAAAGAGCUCGUAGGCGGUUCCGUAAGUCAGGUGUGAAAAUCUGGGCUCAACCCCGGGAGGCGGAUGGAUACUGCAAGGCUCGAGUCCGGAAGAGGCAAGUGGAAUUCCCGGUGUAGCGGUGAAAUGCGCAGAUAUCGGGAGGAACACCAAUGGCGAAGGCAGCUUGCUGGGACGGUACUGACGCUGAGACGCGAAAGCGUGGGAGCAACAGG
rnacentral:rRNA from 1 species